UACGUAGGUGGCAAGCGUUGUCCGGAUUUACUGGGCGUAAGAGCGCGCAGGCGGUCGAUCAAGUCGAGUGUGAAAGCCCCCGGCUCAACUGGGGAGGGUCAUUCGAUACUGAUCGACUCGAAGGCAGGAGAGGGUAGUGGAAUUCCCGGUGUAGUGGUGAAAUGCGUAGAUAUCGGGAGGAACACCAGUGGCGAAGGCGACUACCUGGCCUGUUCUUGACGCUGAGGCGCGAAAGCUAGGGGAGCAAACGGG
rnacentral:rRNA from 1 species